AUACGGAGGGUGCGAGCGUUAAUCGGAAUUACUGGGCAUAAAGAGCGCGUAGGCGGUCCGCUCAGUCAGGUGUGAAAUCCCCCGGCUCAACCGGGGAACUGCAUCUGAUACUGGCGGGCUCGAGGACGGUAGGGGUGAGCGGAACUCCAGGUGGAGCGGUGAAAUGCGUAGAUAUCUGGAGGAACACCGGUGGCGAAAGCGGCUCACUGGGUCUCUUCUGACGCUGAGACACGAAAGCUAGGGUAGCGAACGGGAUUAGAAACCCCGGUAGUCC
rnacentral:rRNA from 1 species